rnacentral:lncRNA from 1 species
AUGACAGAGUGCUGUGACUUUUUAAUGCCAACAGCCACUAUCUUCUCUGUGCUAUUGUACAUUUUUCUUUUAAGAAGUAGUGCAGCUCUGAAGACUCCUGGAGAUCUUGGCAAGCUUUUCCAUCAACUGCAUCAACCAACAAGUGUUGCUACGUCAAGGAAGAAAGGUAUGCAGAUACAGAGGCGGGGAACAGACAACAAGAACAACAAUGAUGGCAUCAGUGACAACAAAAACAGGAUGACAUUAUCUUUCAGGCAUUGCAGACACAUCUGAGAUGGGUUUCUGCCGGGAGCCGCCCACCAGUCAGCUAAGCCUCUACCCAAGGGCAAGGUCCGGAAGAGAGAUGAGGGAACGCACGGCGGACCCUCAGAAGAUGGCGGUCGGCCGCUCCUGAUCCUACUUAUGCUACUAAUCUUAGCAGUAUUGCUCUUGCUGUUCUUUUUCUGUACAUGGGGUUAUUUUGGGGAAAAUCUCUCCAAGCAGAGGAAAGAAGCUGGUGUAACCUGGCCUUCUAGGGAGGGUUCAGGGGAAAAACAGCCUGAAGGGAAAAAACAAUCGGAC